rnacentral:rRNA from 1 species
UACGAAGGGUGCAAGCGUUAAUCGGAAUUACUGGGCGUAAAGGGUGCGUAGGCGGUUCGUUAAGUCUGUCGUGAAAUCCCCGGGCUCAACCUGGGAAUGGCGAUGGAUACUGGCGAGCUAGAGUGUGUCAGAGGAUGGUGGAAUUCCCGGUGUAGUGGUGAAAUGCGUAGAGAUCGGGAGGAACAUCAGUGGCGAAGGCGGCCAUCUGGGACAACACUGGCGCUGAAGCACGAAAGCGUGGGGAGCAAACAGG